AUGAUGAAAGCGGUCCUAUUCUUCUGUAGACUUGUUGUCUACGGAAGCCCGUUUAACACACUCUCACAGUCGCUUUGUCCUCCCUCUUGCGUUGUGUGGUGGAGAGAGAAGCACACGAUUAGAAGCGACGAGAAGAACAUGCCUUUACUGAACUCUGGAGAACAACAAAGACAUAUUGCCGGGGACAGCGCUCGCUCCAUGUGGACACGGUCACAUCUGAGUGUGGAUAUGUCCUUGCAUAUCUGCCUCCCGCUCCUCCUUUUCCUAACAGGACUGUCCCAGACCUCCUGCUGCAACAAAGCUCUGUGUGCCAGCGAUGUCAGCAAGUGUCUUAUCCAGGAGCUGUGCCAGUGCAGGCCAGCAGAAGGGAACUGCUCCUGCUGUAAGGAGUGCAUGCUGUGUCUGGGCCACCUCUGGGAGGAGUGCUGCGACUGUGUAGGCAUGUGUAACCCUAAGAACUACAGCGACUCCCCCCCCACUUCUAAGAGCACGGUGGAGGAGCUGUAUCGACCAAUCCCAUCGCUCUUCCGUGCUCUCACUGAGGGUGAAGCACCUAUCAACAUGAUGGUGGUAUCCUUCCCUGUGUCGGAGGAACUAGCUUACCACGAAAACCUGGUCUCCUUCCUGGAAACCAUGGACGAUCAGCACAACAAUGUGUCACUGCCUGGCAACAGUAUCCAUGCCAGUUAUGACAACAACCAUGGCAACAUGUGCACAGUGGUGUACUUUGACGAGUGUGUAUCCAUCCGCGAGUGUAAGCAGUACUGUGAGGCCAUGGGCGGCUCCAAGUACCGCUGGUUCCACAACGCCUGCUGUCAGUGCAUUGGGCCAGAGUGUGUCGACUACGGGAGCAGGAGUGUUCGCUGCCCCAACUGUCUAUCCUGACUGCCCCACCUCUCUCUCCUGACUGCCACACCUCUCUCCUGACUGCCCCACCUCUCUCCUGACUGCCACACCUCUCUCUCCUGACUGCCCCACCUCUCUCCUGACUGCCCCACCUCUCUCUCCUGACUGCCCCACCUCUCACCUCUGUCUAUCCUGACUGCCCGAACUGUAACAGUCUGUGGGCCGGACUCAGCAGGGGCUGUUGUCUAACUGGAUGAAGGGACUUUCGUAUUGUGAUGAAGCUCAUAUGAACUGUUCUGCUGUUGCCUUUUUAAAAAUGUUUUAUAGAAGCUUUUUUUCAGAGAACUGCUUAGUUUUAUAUUCCGUCAUAAACCUAUGUCAAAAUAUUUUUUUAUGUUAUUUUGUGUUGCUAUUUUUGUUACUGACAAUCAUACUAAAUACUUAUUACUUACGA